AGUGCUCUGAAUGUCAACGUGAAGAAAUUCAAGCAAGCGCGAAUAAACGGCGGGAAUAACAAUGACUCUCUUAAGUGUUUUCGGCAAUUCCUAUCACUAUGACGGCGGCGAUUGCUCUCACCAUCGCACA
rnacentral:ncRNA from 1 species